rnacentral:rRNA from 1 species
GUGGGGAAUAUUGGACAAUGGGCGCAAGCCUGAUCCAGCCAUGCCGCGUGAGUGAUGAAGGCCUUAGGGUUGUAAAGCUCUUUUGUCCGGGAAGAUAAUGACUGUACCGGAAGAAUAAGCCCCGGCUAACUUCGUGCCAGCAGCCGCGGUAAUACGAAGGGGGCUAGCGUUGCUCGGAAUCACUGGGCGUAAAGGGCGCGUAGGCGGACUUUUAAGUCGGAGGUGAAAGCCCAGGGCUCAACCCUGGAAUUGCCUUCGAUACUGGAAGUCUUGAGUUCGGAAGAGGUUGGUGGAACUGCGAGUGUAGAGGUGAAAUUCGUAGAUAUUCGCAAGAACACCAGUGGCGAAGGCGGCCAACUGGUCCGAUACUGACGCUGAGGCGCGAAAGCGUGGGGAGCAAACAGGAUUAGAAACCCCUGUAGUCC